CGCUCUUUGUUAUGUUCAUAUAUAAGGAGUAGUACCUGCCCAGUGAAUUGUUUUAACGGCCGCAGUACCCUGACUGUGCUAAGGUAGCAUAAUCAUUUGCCUUUUAAUUGGAGGCUGGAAUGAAUGGUUUGACGAAAAUUUAACUGUCUCUAUUGUAUUAUAUGAAAAUUAUCUUUUAGGUGAAGAUUCCUAAAUUUAGUUAAAAGACGAAAAGACCCUGUCGAGCUUCAGAAUUAAAUUAUAAAUUUAAAGUUUGUAGAAUAAAUUUCUUUUAAUUUAAUCCUUUUGUUGGGGUGACAGAAGAACAGAACAAGCUUCUUUUAUUUUUUUUAACUUAUGUGUUAAGAAGAUCUAUUAUUAGUAAAUUAAAAAAAGUUACCGCAGGGAUAACAGCGUUAUUUUUCUGGAAAGCUCAAAUUGAAGGAAAAGAUUGCGACCUCGAUGUUGGAUUAGAAAACCUAGUAGGUGAAGAAGCUUACUUAAGGAGGUCUGUUCGACCUAUAACUUUCUACA
rnacentral:rRNA from 1 species